UCUCUCUCUCUCUCUCUCUAACUCUCGCUCGGAUUGUAGCUUAACAUUUCUCGAUCUGUCACUGUCAUGGAGUCCAUUUCUAUCCCUUUUUUCUUUAAUUUUCUUUCCGUUGGCUACCAAAAAUGUUUAAUAACCAGUUUAUUGUGAUUGUAAUCAAGGGAUUUUCGAUUUUAGGGUUUGUAAUCAAGGGAUUUUAGGGGUGAACCUAUAUUAGCUAUUUGUUUGGAAGAAUCGCUUGUAAAAAUGUUUGAUAACGAGACUUUCUCGAUAUUUGGUUUUGCUAUAACCUCAUUUUAUGUUACUGCAUCAAUAAUUUUGUUCAUUUGUUUGCUGGAAUUAAAUGACUCCAAUCUGCUUGUAAAUAAUGUUCAAAGUGGAGGAAAGCUACACCGGCAAAUUGAUGUUCUCUUUGCUAAUUAAUUGACUUUUAGGCAUUGGACUUGAGCAUACCAUUUAAAGUUGAAAAUCAUGAUUUAAAUUUGUUAAAAUAAAUAUUUUGCGAUCAAAGAAAAUGGUUUUUCUGUCUUAAAUAAGUAUAAAAACUAUUUUAUUCUUCUUUCUCAAUUUGGUUAUUGGACUGGAGCAUAUAUAUUGCCACAGCCCACAUGUAUAGCCAUUGUUCUUUGUCCAAGAAACUAAUAUAGACAGUUGGGUACUGGAAUACAUGCAAUAUUGAUGUCUGGCUUUAAAUGGUGUAGCACUGCAUGAAGAUGCAGCUUUUAUCACUUGUAUGUGUUGAUCGAAUAGACAGUCUUUCUUUCCAUAUUAAAAUGUCUUUCUUUCCAUAUUUUAGAAGCAUUAAUUCUUGGGUAAGUGGAGAGUGUAAUGCAACACUUCAGAAUUAGAUAGUGUAAGGUUUUCAAAUGUAAAAGCCUUUCUCCUAUGGUAUUCCGUCUUUAAAAGGUCAGUAAACCUGUGUUGGUGGAGGCAUGACUUCUGCAAAAUCUAGAAAAGAAAACACUAAGAUAUGAGAUUAUCUAAUGCAGAUUUUCCUGCAAGACAUAGGUAGUCCUAAGAUUACUUGAGUUGUUGGGUAAGGAUCUCAACCCAAAUUGCUUCCCAAAAAACUUGAACUUUCAACCCCUUUUUUGUAAAUGAUUGAGGCAUGAAAGUGCUUUGGUCCAAGCAUAUACAUUGCUUCAAGUUACCUGAUUUCUGGGAAUCUCAAAUCUGAAGUGCCAGAUGUUUGCUCUCAAAUUCAAUUCUUUUAAAUCCUGUGAUAGGGUGUGGACAAAAUGCACAUGAUUUUUAAUUGGUUGGUGCAUUCUCUUUCCUUCCUAUUACAGUAUGGCUAACACCAAUAUUCUUUCUUUCUUGGUUGUAGGGAAACCGAAAAGAGACCUUGCAUUCUUUAUCAUAGUCUGCAGAUUACCCUGGUUCGUAAGGAAAUCUAGGAUGAGACUGAUAGAAUAAUUGGGAAGACAAAGUAGAUUUCUCCUGUUCCUAUCCAUCUUAGUAUCUAUUCUCCAAAUGGUGUGUUACUAAUUUUA